GGGCCUAUAGCUCAGCGGUAGAGCAGCCGGCUCAUAACCGGCCGGUCCCUGGUUCGAUCCCAGGUGGGCCCA
rnacentral:tRNA from 1 species